UACAGAGGGUGCGAGCGUUAAUCGGAAUUACUGGGCGUAAAGCGUGCGUAGACGGUUAUUUAAGUCAGAUGUGAAAGCCCCGGGCUCAACCUGGGAAUUGCAUUUGAGACUGAAUAGCUAGGGUGCGGAAGAGGGAAGCGGAAUUUCCGGUGUAGCGGUGAAAUGCGUAGAUAUCGGAAGGAACACCAGUGGCGAAAGCGGCUUCCUGGUCCAGCACCGACGUUCAGGCACGAAAGCGUGGGGAGCAAACAGG
rnacentral:rRNA from 1 species